rnacentral:rRNA from 1 species
UACGGGGGGGGCAAGCGUUGUUCGGAAUUACUGGGCGUAAAGGGCUCGUAGGCGGCCAACUAAGUCAGACGUGAAAUCCCUCGGCUUAACCGGGGAACUGCGUCUGAUACUGGAUGGCUUGAGAUUGGGAGAGGGAUGCGGAAUUCCAGGUGUAGCGGUGAAAUGCGUAGAUAUCUGGAGGAACACCGGUGGCGAAGGCGGGUCUCUGGGCAGUAACUGACGCUGAGGAGCGAAAGCGUGGGGAGCGAACAGG